AUUGACCGCUGGCGGCAGGCCUAACACAUGCAAGUCGAGCGAGCGGCGGACGGGUGAGUAAUGUAUGGGGACUGCCCGAUAGAGGGGGAUAACUACUGGAAACGGUAGCGAAUACCGCAUACUAUCGGAUAACCCAUAUGGGAUUAGCUAGUAGGUGAGGUAAUGGCUACCGUAGGCGACGAGCCCUAGCUGGUCUGAGAGGAUGAUCAGCCACACUGGGACUGAGACAGGGCCCAGACUCCUACGGAGGCAGCAGUGGUGAAUAUUGCACAAUGGGCGCGAGCCUGAGGCAGCCAUGCCGCGGGUAUGAAGAAGGCCCUAGGGUUGUAAAGGACUUUCAGUCGGGAGGCGUUACCGACAGAAGAAGCACCGGCUAACUCCGUGCCAGCAGCCGCGGUAAUUC
rnacentral:rRNA from 1 species